rnacentral:ncRNA from 1 species
CUAGAAGUAUCUUACUAUUAUUAUAACCCAAUAUAAUAUGAAUACUCGUGUAUAGCGUAGCUUUCCUUAAUUAGGAGCAGUGAUAUUAUAUCAUGUAGGCGCAGAGAUGUAAGAACUUCUAA